rnacentral:lncRNA from 1 species
GGCUUGCUGUGAGAACAGAAUGAGCAAAUAUAUGUGUAAACUCACCAUUAGUAAGAGUGUACAUAUUACCCCCUUUAUCAGUAAGGUGAGGCUGAGUUAUGUUGUUGCAACAAGCAAUUCCACACCACGUCUGUCUUAGAAUAGCUCAGGUUUAUUCCUCACUCAUGUGCGUGGCCUUGAGGAAUGACCUCCCCUCCGAUUUCCUCUUCAUUCUGGGACCCAGGCUGAAAAAAGCAACUUCUAAAUGAGACAUGCUGCUCUCAUGGCAGAGGUAAAAGAUAAAAUAGAACAUUGUGAUCAUGGAUAGUUUGGGCAAAGGAGGAGAAGUGAGCGUGGUCAGGUCAGAAGGAGGGGUGCUGAGCCCAUUUGCCAUCUGGGUGUGGGUCGGGGGUUGCAGAGAAUAGAGUGUGUCAAAAACGUGCAAUUGAUGAAAGUCUAUGAAAGCCAUACCAAAGGAUAGUCCAACAGGCUCCUCCUCCCCUCCUGUUCCACUCCAGACUUCACCGCAUCUAUCCUUUAUGAUGGGCUGUAAGUGAGGGGGAGAGUUGAAUUUGAAGGGCACCCAUGAGGCAGAACUUGCUGAUUGGCUGAUGAGUGAAUACGAAAGAAGAGCCUGAACAGAUGCCACAGCUGCAAGAUCUUCUGAAGUCUGAGUAAAGGGGCUCUCAUUAGCACAGAUGGGAAAGUUUGAAGGGCUAUUAAUCUCAGUGAGAUUUAUUUGGAAAAGUAAUUUUCAUCAAAUUAUAUUUCAAUUUGAGUAAGAUAUUCACUUGGCAUUAGCCCUUUAGGGGAUCAGAGACCAUGUCUUAAAGGAGAGUUCAAGAAGCAUGCAGAAUACCACUGAGGCAAAGGAGAGAAAUUGAUCCUGUGGGUCCUAGUGGACCCCAGUAAAUGGACUUCCUAUCUCACUGCUUGCUACCCAGCUGGUAGAGAAUAUUUCUCACGGAUGCACAGUUAAAAUCUGUCUUCCCACCUGAAUUAACUUUUGUCAACAUUUUGUCAUAUACUUCCCAGAGACACCUAACAACAUUUUUUCCACUUAAACUAUACUCUCUGUAAUGAGCCUCGAUUAAGCUGCCUAAAGAAGCAGGCAUGGUAGGCGAGGUGUCCAGCAAUUGAAGCUAGAAGUGGGUAAGAGCACUACUAACCAGCCAUGCCCUGAGGAAAAAAAAAAAUGUGUUCUAAGAAUUUACUAAAAUAAUGUCUCCCAGCACAUCAUUAUUUAAGCUCCAGUUCCUGCUCAGCAUGAGUGCUGUGCCAAAAGUGGGUUAAAGGGCAUUUCAGAUUAAUUUGGAGGGAGCCUGACUCAGCAGGUUAACAUUCAUC